rnacentral:rRNA from 1 species
AGCGAACGUUAGCGGCGCGCUUAACACAUGCAAGUCGCACGAGAAAGGGCUUCGGCCCCGGUACAGUGGCGCACGGGUGAGUAACACGUGGGUGACCUUCCCUUGAGUGGUGGAUAACCUGCCGAAAGGCGGGCUAAUACAGCGUACGAUCCCGCGGUCUUGGCCGCGGGAUGAAAGCAGGCCUCUGUAUACAAGCUUGCGCUCGAGGAUGGGCCCGCGCCCCAUCAGCUAGUUGGCGAGGUAACGGCUCACCAAGGCAACGACGGGUAGCUGGUCUGAGAGGAUGGGCAGCCACACUGGAACUGAGACACGGUCCAGACUCCUACGGGAGGCAGCAGUGGGGAAUCUUGCGCAAUGGUCGAAAGACUGACGCAGCGACGCCGCGUGGGUGACGAAGGCCUUCGGGUUGUAAAGCCCUGUGGGGCGGGACGAACACGGAGAAUUCAAAUAGGGUUCUUCGCUGACGGUACCGCCUUAGCAAGCACCGGCUAACUCUGUGCCAGCAGCCGCCCGUAAGAC